UCGAGGUAUUAAGGGCACAUGGUGGAUGCCUAGGCGCCAGGAGUCGAAGAAGGACGUGGCUAGCUGCGAUAAGCCACGGGGAGCCGCCAACAGGCUGAGAUCCGUGGAUAUCCGAAUGGGGGAACCUGGUACGGGAAGACCGUAUCACACCUGUCUGAACACAUAGGGCAGGUGGGGUAACGAAGGGAACUGAAACAUCUAAGUACCUUUAGGAAAAGAAAGCAAGAGCGAUUCCCUAAGUAGUGGCGAGCGAACGGGGAAGAGCCUAAACCUUGUCGGUGCAAAAGUCUGCCGACGUUGCCGGCAAGGGGUAGCGGGACCUUCCUAUGCAGUACGGCAGUGCUGCAGGGGAGUAAGAAACUCAUUAUCUAGUUGAACAUGCCUGGAAAGGCAGGCCAUAGAAGGUAACAGCCCUGUAAGCGAAAGGUGAUGAGCUCCCUAGGAAGGCACCCAAGUACCGCGGGGCACGCUAACCCUGUGGGAAUCUGGGAGGUCCACCUCCUAAGGCUAAAUACUCCCUGGCGACCGAUAGUGAACCAGUACCGUGAGGGAAAGGUGAAAAGCACCCCUGUUAGGGGAGUGAAAUAGAACCUGAAACCGUGUGCCUACAAGCAGUUCUAGGCCCAUGGACUUAAAGUCCGGGCUGAGAGCGUGCCUAUUGCAGAAUGAACCGGCGAGUUAUGGUUUGUAGCGAGGUUAAGGAAUUAAGUUCUGGAGCCGCAGGGAAACCGAGUGUGAAUAGCGCGUCAAGUUACAAGCCAUAGACCCGAAACCGGGUGAGCUAUCCAUGGCCAGGGUGAAGCGUGGGUAAAACCACGUGGAGGCCCGAACCCGUUGUUGUUGAAAAAACAUGGGAUGAGCUGUGGAUAGGGGUGAAAAGCCAAACGAACUCGGAGAUAGCUGGUUCUCCCCGAAAUAGCUUUAGGGCUAGCCUCGAAGCGAGGAAGGUGGAGGUAGAGCACUGGUUGGGCUAGGGGUCCUAUAAGAUUACCGAACCCAUUCAAACUCCGAAUGCCAUCUAAACCAUCUUCGGGAGUCAGACUACGGGUGAUAAGAUUCGUGGUCGAAAGGGAAAGAGCCCAGACCGCCGGCUAAGGUCCCUAAGUACAGGCUAAGUGGUAAAGGAAGUGGAAUUCCCAAGACAGCCAGGAUGUUGGCUUAGAAGCAGCCAACAUUUAAAGAGUGCGUAAUAGCUCACUGGCCGAGGGGUUUUGCACCGAAAAUACACGGGGCUAAAGCCUGACACCGAAGCCGCGGAAUUGGUUAAUAGCCAAUUGGUAGGGGAGCGUUCUCUAUGCGCAGAAGGUAGACUGUGAGGACUGCUGGAGCGUAGGGAAGUGAGAAUGCCGGUAUGAGUAGCGAAAAGACAGGUGAGAAUCCUGUCCGCCGAAAGCCUAAGGUUUCCUGGGCAAGGUUCGUCCGCUCAGGGUUAGUCGGGCCCUAAGCCGAGGCUGAAGAGCGUAGGCGAUGGACAACCGGUUGAUAUUCCGGUACCGCCGCAUAGAGCGAAGGGGGGACACAGGUAGGAGGGUCUGGCCGGGGGUUGGAAGACCCGGUCUAAGCCAUCGAGGAAGCCUCCAUAGGAAAAUCCGUGGGGGAGUUCUGAGAGGCGAGUGCGAGGGAAAAGUAAGUACCGAAGCAGGCCUGUCCCAUACUGUCGAGAAAAGCCUCUAGCGCACACAUGUGCAAUCUAUGUGGCGCCCGUACCGCAAACCGACACAGGUAGGCGGGGAGAGAAUCCUAAGGCGCGCGGGAUAACCCUCGUUAAGGAACUCGGCAAAAUGACCCCGUAACUUUGGGAGAAGGGGUGCCUCCGUAAGGAGGCCGCAGUGAAUCGGCCCAGGCGACUGUUUAUCAAAAACACAGGUCUCUGCAAAGCCGCAAGGCGAAGUAUAGGGGCUGACGCCUGCCCAGUGCCGGAAGGUAAAGGGGAAGGGUUAGCGCAAGCGAAGCUCUGAACCGAAGCCCCGGUGAACGGCGGCCGUAACUAUAACGGUCCUAAGGUAGCGAAAUUCCUAGUCGGGUAAGUUCCGACCCGCACGAAAGGCGUAACGAUCUGGGCGCUGUCUCAACGAGGGACCCGGUGAAAUUGUAAUACCUGUGAAGAUGCAGGUUACCUGCGACAGGACGGAAAGACCCCGUGGAGCUUUACUGUAGCCUGAUAUAGAAUUUUGUUACUUCAUGUAGAGGAUAGGUGGGAGGCUGGGAACUGCCCUCGUCAGGGGGCAGGGAGCCGCCGGUGGAAUACCACCCUUGAAGUAACGGAAUUCUAACCUAGGACUCGAGACGAGUUCGGGGACGGUGUCAGGUGGGCAGUUUGACUGGGGCGGUCGCCUCCUAAAGAGUAACGGAGGCGCCCAAAGGUUCCCUCAGCGCGGUUGGAAAUCGCGUGUGGAGUGUAAAGGCAUAAGGGAGCUUGACUGUGAGAGAGACAUCUCGAUCAGAGACGAAAGUCGGGCUUAGUGACCUGGUGGUUCCGAGUGGAAGGGCCAUCAAUUAACGGAUAAAAGUUACCCCGGGGAUAACAGGCUGAUCUUCCCCAAGAGUCCACAUCGACGGGAAGGAUUGGCACCUCGAUGUCGGCUCAUCGCAUCCUGGGGCUGAAGCAGGUCCCAAGGGUUCGGCUGUUCGCCGAUUAAAGCGGUACGUGAGCUGGGUUCAGAACGUCGUGAGACAGUUCGGUCCCUAUCCGUCGCAGGCGUAGGAAACUUGAGGGGAGCCAUCCACAAUACGAGAGGACCUGGAUGGACGCACCUCUGGUGUACCAGUUGUUCCGCCAGGAGCAUAAGCUGGGUAGCUAUGUGCGGAGUGGAUAAGCGCUGAAAGCAUCUAAGCGCCAAGCCCACCCCAAGAUGAGGUUUCCCACGGAGAUAGUCCGGUAAGACCCCAGGGAGACUACCUGGUAGAUAGGCCGGGAGUGUAAGCGUGGUAACACGUUAAGCUGACCGGUACUAAUAGGUCGAGGCCUCGACUCU
rnacentral:rRNA from 1 species